CGUAAAGGCUAGGGGUGCUUCGAUAUUUGUCUGAGGCUGAGAGAGACCCUUUGAACCUGACUCCGGUUAAUACCGGCGUAGGAAAGCCCAUCUUCCCUGCG
rnacentral:ncRNA from 1 species